AAGUCGUAACAAGGUUUCCGUAGGUGAACCUGCGGAAGGAUCAUUGAGAGUGUUGGGUGGGGGUUGUUGGAAUGUAGGGUGAGAUAUCACGUGACAAAAAUAUUUUAUUCAAUAUGACUAGCCACCUGGGAUCUCUGGGCUCUU
rnacentral:misc_RNA from 1 species